rnacentral:rRNA from 1 species
UAACCCGCCACGCUUAGCGCGUGGGGAGACAGUGUCAGGUGGGCAGUUUGACUGGGGCGGUCGCCUCCUAAAGAGUAACGGAGGCGCCCAAAGGUUCCCUCAGAAUGGAUGGAAAUCAUUCGCAGAGGGGAAAGGCACAAGGGAGCUUGACUGCGAGACCGACAAGUCGAGCAGGGACGAAAGGCGGGCUUAGUGAUCCGGUGGGUCCGCAUGGAAGGGCCA